AUGUUGUGAUAGAAGGCCCCUAGUGGCUUGUGGAUUUUUUGAGUUUUACUUUCUAGUGUAGAGAUUGAAAAUAAAUAUAAAGUGUGAAUGAAUUGCAGAACCUGAAUUAUUAUAAGACGAAAGCAACGAGACAGUACUGCGGUGAACAAGAGAAGGCAUCAGUAUGAUGAAAAGGAUAAGAUGCCAUAUAGCGCAAAUACAACACCUACACCACAAACCCUUCCCAACACCACCAUGUCAAAGACAGGUCAUUCUGCAGAUCAGUGGCACAGUACACCAAAACAAAAGCAGAUUUACAAGUCCUCAGAAGGAAAGUCAUCUUCAGCCUCACAGUUAAAC